rnacentral:tRNA from 1 species
AGACUGGUGAUGUAGUGGUAACACGUUCCGCCGGGAUGUAAAGAGAGGUGGUUCGAUUCCCUCCCGGUCUA